rnacentral:rRNA from 1 species
AAAUCACAAUGCGGGACUAUCAGUCUUGCAAUUGGAUUGAGAACAAUGUACAACUCUUAUCGAUAAGCCAUUGGAGGGCAAGUCUGGUGCCAGCAGCCGCGGUAAUUCCAGCUCCAAUAGCGUAUAUUAACGUUGUUGCAGUUAAAAAGCUCGUAGUUGAAGUGUGGGUGAUCGCUGUUGUGAGACUUCGGUCUCUCGACAGUAAGUCACCCCCUUCCAGUAUCCAGUAGUGGGUAUUCACUUACUUACUAUUGUGUGUUGGUCCUUUACUGUGAGAAAAUUAGAGUGUUCAAAGCAGGCGUUUGCUUGAAUAGAUUAGCAUGGAAUAAUAAUUGAAGGCUUUCGUGUUCGAUUUGAUUGGUUUGUUCAUGGAAGCAAGGUUAAAAGGAACAGUUGGGGGUAUUCAUAUUCACUAGUUAGAGGUGAAAUUCUCGGAUUUAUGGAAGAUGAAC